UUGCUCCCGGAUGUUAGCGGCGGACGGGUGAGUAACACGUGGGUAACCUGCCUGUAAGACUGGGAUAACUCCGGGAAACCGGAGCUAAUACCGGAUAGUUCCUUGAACCGCAUGGUUCAAGGAUGAAAGACGGUUUCGGCUGUCACUUACAGAUGGACCCGCGGCGCAUUAGCUAGUUGGUGAGGUAACGGCUCACCAAGGCGACGAUGCGUAGCCGACCUGAGAGGGUGAUCGGCCACACUGGGACUGAGACACGGCCCAGACUCCUACGGGAGGCAGCAGUAGGGAAUCUUCCGCAAUGGACGAAAGUCUGACGGAGCAACGCCGCGUGAGUGAUGAAGGUUUUCGGAUCGUAAAGCUCUGUUGUUAGGGAAGAACAAGUGCAAGAGUAACUGCUUGCACCUUGACGGUACCUAACCAGAAAGCCACGGCUAACUACGUGCCAGCAGCCGCGGUAAUACGUAGGUGGCAAGCGUUGUCCGGAAUUAUUGGGCGUAAAGGGCUCGCAGGCGGUUUCUUAAGUCUGAUGUGAAAGCCCCCGGCUCAACCGGGGAGGGUCAUUGGAAACUGGGAAACUUGAGUGCAGAAGAGGAGAGUGGAAUUCCACGUGUAGCGGUGAAAUGCGUAGAGAUGUGGAGGAACACCAGUGCGAAGGCGACUCUCUGGUCUGUAACUGACGCUGAGGAGCGAAAGCGUGGGGAGCGAACAGGAUUAGAUACCCUGGUAGUCCACGCCGUAAACGAUGAGUGCUAAGUGUUAGGGGGUUUCCGCCCCUUAGUGCUGCAGCUAACGCAUUAAGCACUCCGCCUGGGGAGUACGGUCGCAAGACUGAAACUCAAAGGAAUUGACGGGGGCCCGCACAAGCGGUGGAGCAUGUGGUUUAAUUCGAAGCAACGCGAAGAACCUUACCAGGUCUUGACAUCCUCUGACAACCCUAGAGAUAGGGCUUUCCCUUCGGGGACAGAGUGACAGGUGGUGCAUGGUUGUCGUCAGCUCGUGUCGUGAGAUGUUGGGUUAAGUCCCGCAACGAGCGCAACCCUUGAUCUUAGUUGCCAGCAUUCAGUUGGGCACUCUAAGGUGACUGCCGGUGACAAACCGGAGGAAGGUGGGGAUGACGUCAAAUCAUCAUGCCCCUUAUGACCUGGGCUACACACGUGCUACAAUGGACAGAACAAAGGGCUGCGAGACCGCAAGGUUUAGCCAAUCCCACAAAUCUGUUCUCAGUUCGGAUCGCAGUCUGCAACUCGACUGCGUGAAGCUGGAAUCGCUAGUAAUCGCGGAUCAGCAUGCCGCGG
rnacentral:rRNA from 1 species